UGUACUUCCUCCGUUUCACAAUGUAAGUCAUUCUAGCAUUUCCCACAUUCAUAUUAAUGUUAAUAUGUAUAGAUUCAUUAACAUCAAUAUGAAUGUGGGAAAUGCUAGAAUGACUUAUAUUGUGAAACGGAGGGAGUACA
rnacentral:misc_RNA from 1 species